rnacentral:rRNA from 1 species
GAUGAACGCUGGCGGCGUGCCUAAUACAUGCAAGUCGAGCGAACAGACGAGGAGCUUGCUCCUCUGACGUUAGCGGCGGACGGGUGAGUAACACGUGGAUAACCUACCUAUAAGACUGGGAUAACUUCGGGAAACCGGAGCUAAUACCGGAUAAUAUAUUGAACCGCAUGGUUCAAUAGUGAAAGACGGUUUUGCUGUCACUUAUAGAUGGAUCCGCGCCGCAUUAGCUAGUUGGUAAGGUAACGGCUUACCAAGGCAACGAUGCGUAGCCGACCUGAGAGGGUGAUCGGCCACAAGGGAACUGGGACACGGUCCAGACUCCUACGGGAGGCAGCAGUAGGGAAUCUUCCGCAAUGGGCGAAAGCCUGACGGAGCAACGGCGCGUGAGUGAUGAAGGUCUUCGGAUCGUAAAACUCUGUUAUUAGGGAAGAACAAAUGUGUAAGUAACUAUGCACGUCUUGACGGCACCUAAUCAGAAAGCCACGGCUAACUACGUG